rnacentral:tRNA from 1 species
GUGGCUCGGUGCGCACGGUAGCGCGUCUGACUCCAGAUCAGAAGGUGGCGUGUUCAAAUCACGUUCA